rnacentral:rRNA from 1 species
AUGGAGAGGAAUUUGUUUGAUUUCAAAUACUUCUUCUUAUUGAAAAGAGGGAAGGAGAAAAACCGAAAUAUUCCUACUCGAACAAUAAGUCCUUUUGUAGAAAAGUCUUCUUUAUAUAGUAAUUCGACCUAUUGCUCCAGAUCCCCGUUUACUAGGAAGAUAAGAAUCAAAAGGAUCGAACUACCUACUCAUUAUUCGGAGGUGAAUCAUAGAACACUAAAAGUUGCGGCAUCUUAUGGACCUAAUAUAGGUCACAUCCCUCACGACAUAAGAUUGAAAGAUCCAAACAUUCCUCUUCGGAGCUCAAACGGACGUGGCCAAAACAUAUAA